UAAUUUAUUCAAACGACGGUUGUAUAUGAUGAUAAUCAAUGACAAUAACAUAAAACACGUUAUUUUAUUUCAACUGAUCAUAUGGUAAUUUCGAGUUGAGUUUAGAAUUAUAAAUUUUAUUAUUCACAAUUUUCCAUUGUAAUUUCAUAAUUACGUUUACAAAUCUGAACAUGUUAUUUUCUUAGACUACUACGUACGUUUAAAAUACAAGUGCAAUGUUUAAACUAUCAACCUAUAUUUAUGUUGUUUUAAAGUUCAUUUUCUAAUCCAUAAACUAUAAUUUGAAUUUUUGAUCUAGUUUUUGUUGUUGUGCUUCAUGUAAAAGUAAUUUGAAGAUUUAAGUGAUUUGAAUAUGAUCCUCAAUAAUUUUUAUUUUUUAUUUUGUCUAGUUUGUUUUGCUUUCUUACUAUAUGCGCAUAUGUAUGUCUACCAUGCCCAAGAGGUGGUGGGCUAGUGGUAGGGGAUCUUGGAGAAAGGGUGCAACUCCCACAACCUGAGUUCGAUUUUCCGCUUUGCUGUUAACACCAUCUUUGUGGGAAGUAUGUCAGGUGGGCUUAUACCCAAUUGGUUUACCUAAUAAUCAGAAAUGUAGGCGGCCUGAUUACUUCCGGACAUUAGUCAGAAAACGUUAAUCUGGAUUCAGGCGAUGUGGUAGCCCAACACCUACGUAUUGGCGACGAGUCCACAUUGUAGCACUUCGGUGUGAUCCUUCCAGAGCUGAGCGGAGAUCAGGUUUAUCAAAAAAAAAAAAAAAUGUAUGUCCACCAUGGUCACGAAAAAAGAUAAGGGACAAGGUAGGUGUCACGAGAGAUACGACGAGACUCUAAGGCUACCUUGCACGGAAGCGUGGGUAAAGCACCGAUUCCCGCUUCGGAACCGGAAUCGGAAGCGGAAGCGUCCGGAAGCGCUUGGAAUCGCAAAGGAAACGCGUUUCUCAAAAAAUGGUAAUUAGAAACGUUUUGGAAACGUCGAUUCUGUGUUGGAAGCGUGAAAGUGAAUAAAUGGAAUCGUAAUCGGGUUUUUUUCUUUUGGUUUUGUAAAACCAGACCUGAAGGAAGAAGAAGAUGAAUUACUUCUCUCUCACGUGCGUUUUAUAAGCCCAAUUCAUUAUUCUUCACCCACUUGUUUUUAUUUCA
rnacentral:lncRNA from 1 species